rnacentral:lncRNA from 1 species
CGUUCUUUUUUGCAGAACAUAGCACGCACAAAAUUGCUAUUCACCUCCAUACAUAGAACUCUUUCCUCGGUGAGCUGUUUUUGGGAAAACUGAGGUGAAAAGCAUUUGGAAUCCUAACCCUACUUCUUCUACGGCAUCGUCAACAAUUGCUGUCUCUCUCUCUCUGAUACUGGGCUAUGCGCAUGCGUCAAAGCUUGGAUGCGAUUGGAGAUCGUGCCUGCUGUCUUGUUUCUGCUUCUCCAAUGAUUGCGUCGUGAUCUACCACUCACUGUUCGAUCAUUCUGCCUGAGCUGCUUGGAAAUUACUACUAAUGUUAUCUGCU